GUCCUUAAGAACCUACAAACUGCAGAGGAAGCCUAAUGCAGAGCAUGCAGUGCCAAAGAGCCAAUCACUUCAGGGAUCAUCCCUCUUCCUCUUCACAUUCCCCAAGAUGAAAACCUUCAGCAGCAAACGAGCGAAGCCAACGCACAGAAAGAGACUGCACAUCCACAUCUUUAUGAGGAUACAGAACCCAGCUUCUCCUCUCUCCAGCUCAUUCCUGCAGGACCAAGACCACCACCACCAAGGAGCCAUCACCACCCAGGAGCCACUCCAAGUCCCACAGAAGACCCCUUCACCAUGGAGGGGCUACCCCAUCACAGCCCCACUCAGGAGGAGCCCCAAGGGGGACAGGGGGACUUAGCCUCCCACCACACUCAGGGGGGCGGAGGGAGU